CCCACCUGCGAAACAAGGACACGUGGUUGAUGGACAACUCUUGUCCUUUCCAACAGCAAAGCUCACUGAUGAUCACAGUCUUUCUCAGGGAGGGAGUCACAGAAGCCCUGAUGCAAGCUGUGGGCCCGCUCACCAGAACAACGCCUGCUCACACAAACUGCACCUGCAGGACUCCGGGGGCCCAGGCGGGUUUCAGUGGAGACACAGAGGAAGCCUUGGACCUGCUGUUCUGCCCAUUUGUGAUGCAGGGUUUGGAAGCACAUGGAGGAAACCCAGGAUCAAUA